AUUUUUCGAUAAAGAUGAAUGCAUCUGAAUUGUACUGGGUGGCCCCAGAUGAGAAGACUCCACUCAGGACCCAGUAGAUGUCCUACUACUUGGUUGCCAAUUAGUGGAAAGUGAAGGAAGAGAGUUUGCAUGCAACUGCAACUCUAAUCCACCCAACUUGCAUCACGGAAGGACCACCUCAGUGCCCUCUGCAGAUUCCGGCGAAACCAUGCCAGAAAGACUGUGAACCUGUCCAAGUUAGCACGUUUUGUAGUACACAUGUAACCGGAACUUUGGGACCUCCAAGUCAACUGACCCAAGACUAUCCUUAGGCUGGAAGAAGAAAUAUUAGCAGCGCAACAUCUAGUCCAAUUUGUGGAUGACAUCCUAAAGCAAUUAUGACAUGCUAUGUUUCAAAACAGUUUAUGAGCAGGCACUAUUUGUGACAGCAGUCCAGUAAUGGUGAUGGGACAGCAGAGGAUGGAUGUGUCCAGAGUUUCCCUAUGAAUUUCAUGAGAGUCGCGCUGGAAACAGAAGAUAGAGGGAGUGGAGGAGCUCGCCAUCUCCAAGCGAUCUACAGUGGGAAAAACAUGGAGUCCGCUCCGGCAGCCCCCGAUCCAGCAGCCAGCGAGCCGGGCAGCAGCGUCUCCGAGGCGGCCGCCGGCGCCAGGGACACCCCGGCGAGCCUGGAGCCGGCCCGGAAAAGCGAUGCGCCGGCCGCCGGCCGCAGGCAGAGCUACUCCAGCAGCGGCAGCGGCAGCAGAGAGCUGCCAGAGAGCGAGAGCCGCCUUGCUUCCCCUUUGGUCAGACCCCUGCAGGUGUCCUGUUGGCAAGAAGCCUACAUACCUAGAAUGUUAUUCCAAGUUAGCAGAGAAUAUUUGAUUACCAGGUACUGA
ensembl:lncRNA